rnacentral:rRNA from 1 species
GACGAACGCUGGCGGCGUGCUUAAUACAUGCAAGUCGAGCGGUGAACCCGACUGAAAGCCUUCGGGCUUGACGUUGGGGGAUCAGCGGCGGAUGGGUGAGUAACGCGUGGGUACCUGCCCUAAAGUCUGGGAUAACAACUCGAAAGGGUUGCUAAUACCGGAUGUGACCGAGAGGUUAAAGGCAGAGAUGUCGCUUUAGGAUGGGCCCGCGUCCCAUUAGCUAGUUGGUGAGGUAAGGGCUCACCAAGGCUGCGAUGGGUAGCCGGCCUGAGAGGGUGACCGGCCACACUGGAACUGAGACACGGUCCAGACUCCUACGGGGGCAGCAGUGGGGAAUCUUCCACAAUGGGCGAAAGCCUGAUGGAGCGACGCCGCGUGAGCGAAGAAGGCCUUCGGGUUGUAAAGCUCUGUCUGGAGGGACGAAGGAAGUGACGGUACCUCCGGAGGAAGCCACGGCUAACUACGUG